GAUAAGUGAAGGAUGUCAUCAUCCAUGUGUCUACCCUACGGGCCCAAAUACCUGCCAAGUCGCCUCUCCAGGGACUAACUUGGAGAUUUACAGUUUCAAGUCUUAUGUCCAACUCCUUAAUCCAUUUUGAGAAAGGUGAAUCUUAUGAACAAAUGCACCUGAGUAACAUGUAACAGUGUGCUGUGGGAGAGAAGACUUGAUGAAGAGCCCCUCCGCCUCAGGUUCUAACCUCAACUUUUCAUGUACCAGGUGUGUGCCUUUAGAAGAAACAGGACCAGAGAGGUGAAGUAGCCUGAGGUCACUUCCAAGGAGAAAUGGAACUAGAAGCCAAACCCCUACUCCCUACUCUUCUUUCUACCUGCCCCUUCCUUAUCCUCCCACAUGCCCAUGACAACCACUAUGUGCUUCUAAAGUUGCUCUUAAGCCUCAAAAUGCGAAAUUUUUUUUACAUGGUCGUGCUAUAAUUAAGUCAUCAGCACAACUCAUGAAAACAAAACUGUGUCUUUUUAAUUAGUGUCUUCAAUGUGAGUGAAUGGUUCAUUAUUCUUUCCCA